rnacentral:rRNA from 1 species
GACGAACGCUGGCGGCGUGCCUAACACAUGCAAGUCAACUUGACUGAAGGAGCAAUCUGACAGUAGAGUGGCGCAAGGGUGCGUAAUAUAUCGGAACGUACCCGGAAAUGGGGGAUAACGUAGCGAAAGUUACGCUAAUACCGCAUAUGCCCUAAGGGGGAAAGCGGGGGACUCGCAAGAACCUCGCGUUUUCGGAGCGGCCGAUAUCGGAUUAGCUAGUAGGUGAGGUAAAGGCUCACCUAGGCGACGAUCCGUAGCUGGUCUGAGAGGACGACCAGCCACACUGGAACUGAGACACGGUCCAGACUCCUACGGGAGGCAGCAGUGGGGAAUUUUGGACAAUGGGCGCAAGCCUGAUCCAGCCAUGCCGCGUGAGUGAAGAAGGCC